GACGAACGCUGGCGGCGUGCUUAACACAUGCAAGUCGAACGGUGAAGCGCCUUCCUUUUUGGUGGGUGUGGAUGAGUGGCGAACGGGUGAGUAACACGUGAGUAACCUGCCCCCUUCUCCUGGAUAACCGCAUGAAAGUGUGGCUAAUACGGGAUAUUCUGGGUCUGUCGCAUGAUGGGUCUGGGAAAGAUAUUGUUUCGGUGGGGGAUGGGCUCGCGGCCUAUCAGCUUGUUGGUGGGGUGAUGGCCUACCAGGGCGGUGACGGGUAGCCGGCCUGAGAGGGUGGACGGGCACACUGGGACUGAGACACGGCCCAGACUGCUACGGGAGGCAGCAGUGGGGAAUAGUGCACAAUGGGCGCAAGCCUGAUGCAGCGACGCCGCGGGAGGGAUGGAGGCCUUCGGGUUGUGAACCUCUUUCGCCAGUGAAGCAGGCCUGCCUCGUUUGUGGGUGGGUUGACGGUAGCUGGAUAAGAAGCGCCGGCUAACUACGUG
rnacentral:rRNA from 1 species